AAUAAACAAAUUCGUGGUUUCCGUGUUUAACCUUUGAUCAUCCGUCUUAUAUGAUUUUUUUUAUGAUUAGUAUUUUUAUUGUUAUUAGAUGAUAAAACAUAAAUAAUACUUUAUGCGUGACAUCUUUUUAAAAAAAUUUAUAAUUUUUUUAAAUAAAACGAACGGUCAAAGGUUAUGCAUGAAAACCCACGAAUCUAUUUAUU
rfam:Oryza barthii chromosome 11, whole genome shotgun sequence.